rnacentral:rRNA from 1 species
GACGUAGGAGACGAGCGUUGUCCGGAUUUACUGGGCGUAAAGCGCGCGCAGGCGGCCCCGCAGGUCGGUUGUGAAAGCCCCCGGCUCAACCGGGCGGAGGCGAGCGAAACCGCGGGGCUGGAGGCUGGCAGAGGGUGGUGGAAUUCCCGGUGUAGUGGUGAAAUGCGUAGAGAUCGGGAGGAACACCCGCGGCGAAGGCGGCCACCUGGACCAGACCUGACGCUGAGGCGCGAAGGCCGGGGGAGCGAACGG